AUUUGAUCACCAGGUAGCUCGCCGUCCACAGGACCUGUCUAAGAGUUCCUGCAAAGGUGGAAGAGGACGUCCCUGAGGCUUGAGUCUUCAAAGGAUUCUGAAAAGUGGUUGAGGUCUAUGCUGAUUCCCUAGAGGCGGAAGAGGACGUCCUUGAGAAUCCAGUAACUCUAUAAAAGGAUAUGGAUAAGUGCUUUCCCUUCGUCCACAAGUUGUGAGCGAGUGUCCUCCCUGCCGGCCACCGUGAGAAGUGGACACCACCUCCUGAAGGACCUUCCAUCCCCGCUCUGCGCUUCGCCGGCCUCUCGCUGCCCGGAAGAUCUCUGCAUCACAGCAUUGUGGUGAUCGUCUCGC